UACGUAGGGGGCAAGCGUUGUCCGGAUUUAUUGGGCGUAAAGAGCGUGUAGGCGGCUAGGUAGGUCCGUUGUGAAAACUCGAGGCUCAACCUCGAGACGCCGGUGGAAACCAUCUAGCUAGAGUCCGGAAGAGGAGAGUGGAAUUCCUGGUGUAGCGGUGAAAUGCGCAGAUAUCAGGAAGAACACCCGUGGCGAAGGCGGCUCUCUGGUACGUGACUGACGCCGAGACGCGAAAGCGUGGGGAGCGAACAGG
rnacentral:rRNA from 1 species